GUCUUGCUGUUAAAGUAGUGCAUAUUUACAUAUAUGAAUAGUCAUUUGAAGCAUAUUGUAUGUUUUAUACACAGCAAAAACAGCCUAUAUUUGACUGAAAUUCCUAGAUAGUGCGGUGAAUGUUUAUAUGGUUGCCAAAAAAUAGGCAAGAAUAUUUGUCCUCCAUGACUCCUGUUCUUUCUGACAGCAAAGCACUUGAAUGCGACAAGCUUGUAAUCACGACAUGAGAAAUGGGAAGUAGGAAAUUUUUGAUAGCAUGUGAAGGCAGCAUAAAUAUUAUUAUUUAAACUAGCUUUUAUAUUCUGACAUUUUUGGUAUACAAUAUGAAGUAAUGUGUGUGUCUGUAUCCUACAGAAUAAGGGAUGUUUGGACACCCAGUCAUCAGAAGCAGAGCUGUAGGAAGUGUGGACAGACAUUGACUGUAAUGAUGGACUUCUGCUGAUGGACAGACAGAAAAGUAUAACCCCUGUCGGACAUCGUACCGGGGCUCGGGGGGGGGGACCCGACUCAUCCCCGCCCCUUCACACUCACUCAUAUCGCUGAGAUCUGGCUGGGAUCGAACCAGCAACCUCUGAACCCGUGAGGCAGCGCUCUUAACCUGUGAGCCACAGAUCUCAUGUCUGAACAUGUGCAGGAACUUAUAUUUCACUGUUUCCUGACCUGUGAUUUACAAUAAACUACUUCAAG